GAUGAAGAACGUAGCGAAAUGCGAUACUUGGUGUGAAUUGCAGAAUCCCGUGAACCAUCGAGUCUUUGAACGCAAGUUGCGCCCGAAGCCAUUAGGCCGAGGGCACGCCUGCCUGGGCGUCACACGUCGUUGCCCCCCCAUCUACUCCUUCGGGAUUGCGGGGGGCGGAUGAUGGCCUCUCGUGCGCCUCGUCGCGCGGUUGGCCUAAAUGCCAAGUCCUCGGCGACGCACGCCACGACAAUCGGUGGUUGCGAAACCUCGGUUGCGUGUCGUGUGCGGUCGUCGCGCAUCGAGGGCUCGAAAAAAUUGCCGGGCUUCGGCUCGACUUUCAACGCGACCCCAGGUCAGGCGGGGUUACCCGCUGAAUUUAAGCAUAUCAAUAAGCGGAGGA
rnacentral:misc_RNA from 1 species